CUCAUCCUAACCUGUGAAAGGCUAAGUGGUAAAAGAUGUCCUCCUUUCACGGAUAUGGUGCUCUGCCUUAACGCAAGAGAAGAUUGUAAAGGAGAAGAAUGAAGUUCAACUUUUUCACUGCAGCCAUCGUCAAAUUGUAUAACCGAGGCAGCCAUAUUAGACUUUGAGAUCAGGGUUGGUCAAAUCUGACAGAGCAGCAGAGGCUGAAGAUGUUCUUCUCUCAUAGAGGCCGUCAGUGGUUCUCUCUGCUGUCUGAGCUGCUCCUUUACGU